AGACCAUGAUGAGGACACCAUCUCAAAAUAUCUUUAAAUCUCUCCCAGGUGUCAUAAAAUGUCUCAAGAUCCAAUUGGGAAAUGGAAGAGAUAUCAUUCCUCAACUU
rfam:Gossypium arboreum cultivar AKA8401 contig_7836_9, whole genome shotgun sequence.